rnacentral:tRNA from 1 species
ACCCCUGUAGCUUAGUGGUUAGAGCAUUGUGCUUAUAUCGCAAGGGUCGGCGGUUCGAACCCGCCCAGGGGUA